rnacentral:rRNA from 1 species
GACGAACGCUGGCGGCGUGCCUAACACAUGCAAGUCAAAGGAAAGCGGCUUCGGCCGGGAGUACUUGGCGCAAGGGUGAGUAAUGUAUAGGUAAUCUGCCCUUUGGACUGGGAUAACCCCGAGAAAUCGGGGACAAUACCAGAUGAUGCAGCGGAACCGCAUGGUUAUGUUGUUAAAGAUUUAUCGCCAAAGGAUGAACCUAUAUCCCAUCAGGUAGUUGGUAAGGUAACGGCUUACCAAGCCUACGACGGGUAGCUGGUCUGAGAGGAUGAUCAGCCACAUUGGAACUGAGACACGGUCCAGACUCCUACGGGAGGCAGCAGUGAGGAAUAUUGGUCAAUGGACGCAAGUCUGAACCAGCCAUGCCGCGUGAAGGAUUAAGGUCCUCUGGAUUGUAAACUUCUUUUAUUUGGGACGAAAAAGGGUCUUUCUAGACCAACUGACGGUACCAGAUGAAUAAGCACCGG